UACACAGUGAUCCACAGCGUAUUUCAAAAGCAAAUAAGCGCAGCUAUCUAUGAGAUCUGAGCUAAGACAUAUCAACAAAAUUAAUCAUAAUUUCUCUUCUGGCAAUCUUUCAACAAAGUAAGGACCUACGCACUGUCAUAUGCAGACACGACUCAUAAAUCCAAAGGGAGAGAGACAAACGCGAUGCACUUUAGGCGCACGCGCAGAUGUUUUUACAGGAUUUUUCAUUAGUGUCAGCACUCGUUGCAUGCAGCUCAAGCGCAUUUGAAUAAAUAAGUGUGCAUGUGCGAGUGUGUGUGUGUGUGUGUGCAUACACCAAACAAAACAUGUCAGGUCCCAAACAUAAUUGAAAAGAAAGAAGGAACGCGCGCGCGCGCGUCUAUAAAUCAACGCGGCAGGAUAAUGCAUCCACGAGUGUUGAGCACUAAUUUUGGCUCGUUGCGGCAUCUGUCCAGGAGCCAAGGCAGCAUCAGGAGGAGGAGGAGCAGCAGCAACAGCAGCAGCAGCAAUAACAAAGCGGCCUCCAUUGAACACAUCGAGUGGCUUCUUCGCUUGAAUGCAAUGCGAGAAAUUUAGAUCCCUUACAAAGAGAGACUGAGCGCGUAAUAUGAGGCAGCCUGGCUAGCGCACCUGGCCGUGAUUUGGAAACAGAGCUGAACACGGCUGAACUACUUAGAGGCAGACGUGGAACAGGUUGACGACUCACGAAGCGAGCCAACAAACCAGCUUCAUAGCGGUCACAGCUGACAACAACCACAUCGCAACAACUACAGCAACUGAGUUGUUGUGCCUCCCUUUUUGGAGACGACACAAAUCAGAUCAACCGUUGCCUGAACCGUGAUGAACCUGCCGCGCAGCGAGCCAGCUCUGGUCCCGUUGUGUGUGCUCUGCGCCGUCUGAUGUUGCAACAGUGCCAGAGUCCACAAGCGGUUGACGACACACGAACCAGCGCGAUUCACAGUUUGCAGCUUCAGCAACGUCAGCAACGUCAGCAGCGUCAGCUCUCCGUCUGCAGGGGAGAGUCGUGGACAGUCGCGCUCCCUUGUCCAUGUGGGGGGCGUGCAUCCAACACACAUAUAUCCGUGCAACCACAGGCCAUGCACGCCGCCGCCGGCGUGUUGCACUUUAAGUUUUUUUUUGGCUUAAACAUUUAGCUCAUUGCAAAUGGCUGACAGGGUAUAUUAGUUCUUUGGAAUGUGUCACAUACUGAAGUAGGUCCAAUCCAUUAGCAAUGAGAAUGAACUGAAAGCAUAUAUCUAUCUCUAUGUCAUUUCCUUAAGAUAAUCGAUCUGUGUGUCCUCAUAUCACAUUGAGCCUGGGAAACAUAGGAGAUAUUUGAACCUAGUCAAGGCAAUGAGACUUCAUCUUAUAUCAAAAAUCAUAAGA
rnacentral:sRNA from 1 species